rnacentral:rRNA from 1 species
AUUGAACGCUGGCGGCAGGCUUAACACAUGCAAGUCGAGCGGGGUGAUGGUGCUUGCACUAUCACUUAGCGGCGGACGGGUGAGUAAUGCUUAGGAAUCUGCCUAUUAGUGGGGGACAACAUCUCGAAAGGGAUGCUAAUACCGCAUACGUCCUACGGGAGAAAGCAGGGGAUCACUUGUGACCUUGCGCUAAUAGAUGAGCCUAAGUCGGAUUAGCUAGUUGGUGGGGUAAAGGCCUACCAAGGCGACGAUCUGUAGCGGGUCUGAGAGGAUGAUCCGCCACGCUGGGACAGAGAGACGGGCCAGACUCGUACGGGAGGGAGCAGUGGGUAAUAUUAGACAAUGGGGGGAAACCUGAUCCGGCCAUGCCGCGUGUGUGAAGAAGGCCUUAUGGUUGUAAAGCACUUUAAGCGAGGAGGAGGCUCUUUUGGUUAAUACCCAAGAUGAGUGGACGUUACUCGCAGAAUAAGCACCGGCUAACUCUGUGCCAGCCGCCGCCGUAA